GCCCCAACCCCAACAAGAGACUCACAUUCGGUGUUCACGUUUGGCAAAUUCACUUCUCACUUUCAGUUUAUUUUUACAAAGCCCUAACCCUAGAUUUAUACAAAUUCAAUCCAAUGGGCAGCGAACAAGACACCCAACGCAUGCACCGUCGAUCCAGCUCUUAUGAUGAAGCGGAGAAGUCCUCUAAACGACAUAAACAUCGUCACCACCACCACCGUCACCGUCACCGUCACCAUCGAAGCAGGAAGCACGAAGACGAUACCAAUCACGGAGGUGAUGAUAUACCUCCUUCCGUUCCGGUCAUUAAUAUUUCUCGAAUUGAUGAUGACGUGGAGGAAGGAGAGAUUCUUGAAGAGGACAAUUUUGAAAUCAGGAAAUUGGAUUCUUCUGAAAUUAAGGCUCUUGAUGGAGUUGACUCUCGAAUUCCGGGAGUUGGUGAAUUUAAUCAUGUGAAAGAGACUCCCAAGAAUAAGAUUGAUGAUGAUCUGGUUGCUAAAUCUGAAAUUAGUAAAAAUGAUCAUCAUGUCAGUGGGGAUUUUUCUCAUGAUUAUAGAAAAGGUAAUGAUCGACGGCUGAUGGAAUCUGUGUCUCCUUCAAAUAAAAACAGAAAGCAGAAGAAAUAUCUUGACACUGAUGGAAUGGAGGAUGAUGUUAGCAAAUUACAGGAGAAGAGAAAAUCAUUGUCCUCUGAAAGCUCAGGGGACAGGCAUAAGACAGUGGUGCUCUCACCAUCAUGUGAUAGAUCUAAUAAUGAUUUCCAUGCUAGGAGGAGUAGGUCAAGGUCACGUGAUCUUGCUUUGGAAAGAUCUCAUUCCCAAAGCAUAAUGGAAGAAGAAGCUGUCGCUAAAAGAAGGCGUAAUCAUGAACAGGAUCUGAACGCCUCUGCAGAUGAUAGGGUUAUUCAACGCUGUAGGAAUGAGAUAAAUGGUAGUGAGGAUUUAGCGAGGGAUGAGGAAAGGGAGCACAGUAUUAGUUACAGCUGCAGAUACAUUGGCAGAGAGGAUAGCCAUCACAGUCGGGAGAUACGAAAUAGAGAGAGGAGUUGGGAGAGGGAGAUGGUAAAGGAUCAGAGAAGGGAGAAGGAACGAGAAAGAAGAGGGCAUAUGGAGAUAAACAGGGAACAGAGAAGAGACAAAGAACGAGAGAGUGGGGACAGGGAAAUAUACAGCAAAAGGGAGGAACGAGGUAGGGGCAGGUAUGAGGAGGUUGAACUGGGUAGGAAACGAGAGAAGGAAAGAGAUAGGAGCAGAGAUAGAGCCAGGGUCAGUGAUCAAGACAUAGAUAGACGUAGGGAAAGGGGGAGAGAUAAGGACAAGGCCAGAGUUAGAGAGCAUAACUUGGAGAGGGAGAGACAUAGUGAUAGAGGUCGAGAUAAAGCUGCUGAUAUUGAGAGAGAUAGGGAGAAGUAUGGAAGUCUUGAUGAUAGUUAUGGAAAUCAAGAUAGGUUUAAACAUUCCAGGCGCUUGACUCAAGGUGAUGAUAAAGGACGUUCUCAUGAUAGAACUAGAAAGGAUGAUCCAGCCAAGAUUCAUAGUUCUAACAGUCAUUCUUGGGAAGGAGGUGGUGAUGGAAACACAAGAGAUGAAGAUGAUGGAGAUGAUUUUGAGGAAAGGUUUGCCUUGAAGCUUGUUGAACAAGAAGAAGAUCUUGACAGAAUUAAGGAGGAGAGUAGAAAGCGAAGACAGGCCAUCGUAGAAAAAUACAAGAAUCAGCAGUUACAGCUGCAUAGUGAGUCUGAUUCGGCUGAUGUUGAAAAAGAUAAAAAGUCUUUUCAGCAUCCUGGUCUAUUGACUGGUGUUGAUAAUGAUUUUUCGGAUAAUCAUAAUGGUAAAAGUAAUGGAAUUGAUGGCUAUGUUGAUGAGCAGUUAUUCUCUGUUAUGAAGUCACCUCUACAUAAUGGAACUGCUGCUUCUGAUGGGACUUCUGGUCCUGGGGGGCUUGGAGAUGGUACUCCGAAGAGUGAAACAUCAGACCUUGUGUUCUGUGAUGAUAUGUUUGGAGAGACUCCUGCUAGAGUUCGAAAAUCGGUUAAAACUGAAGGUUCAAAAAUUGUAAGGAGUGGCUUGCAUGACAACUGGGAUGAUGCAGAAGGGUACUAUAGCUAUCAAUUUGGUGAAUUACUUGAUGGACGAUAUGAAGUCACUGCUACUCAUGGGAAAGGUGUUUUCUCCACUGUAGUACGUGCAAAGGAUCUUAAAGCUGGUAGUGGUGAACCUGAAGAAGUGGCCAUAAAAAUUAUACGCAAUAAUGAAACAAUGAACAAGGCUGGUCAGACAGAGGUUCAGAUAUUAAAGAAAUUGGCAGGUGCAGAUCCAGAGAAUAAGCGUCACUGCAUCCGCUUUAUUUCGAAUUUUAAGUACAGGAAUCAUCUUUGUUUAGUUUUUGACUCUCUUCAUAUGAAUCUGCGUGAGGUUUUAAAGAAGUUUGGCCGCAAUAUUGGCCUUAAACUUACUGCCGUAAGAGCAUAUGGGAAACAACUCUUUAUUGCCUUAAAGCAUCUAAAAAACUGUGGCAUUCUUCAUUGUGAUAUAAAGCCAGAUAACAUGCUGGUAAAUGAGGCAAAGAAUGUGUUGAAGCUUUGUGAUUUUGGUAAUGCCAUGUUCGCUGGUAAAAAUGAAAUUACACCUUACCUUGUCAGCCGAUUUUAUCGUGCCCCUGAGAUAAUUCUUGGUUUGCCUUAUGAUCAUCCGCUGGAUGUCUGGUCUGUUGGGUGCUGUUUGUAUGAGCUUUAUACUGGAAAAGUUCUUUUCCCGGGUGCCACAAACAAUGACAUGCUACGCCUUCAUAUGGAGUUGAAGGGUCCGUUUCCUAAAAAGAUGCUACGUAAGGGAGCAUUUACAGAGCAGCACUUUGAUCAGGAUUUGAAUUUUCAUGCUACUGAAGAGGAUCCUGUUACUAAGAAGACUAUAAAGAGGAUAAUUUUUAAUAUAAAGCCAAAAGAUAUUGGAUCAAUUGUUACAACCUCUCCUGGUGAAGACCCCAAGAUGUUAAACAAUUUCAAAGAUCUUCUGGAAAAGAUUUUUGUGUUGGAUCCAGAGAGAAGGAUGACAGUAGCACAGGCUUUGGCUCAUCCAUUCAUCUCGGGCAAGUGAACAAUGUUGCUGAUUUUAUGACUCCAGAAAUGCUGUUGAGCUAGAUAUUUGUAUAUUAUGACCUAAUUCAUAUUUAGAUAUCUAAUCAUUGGGCAUUAUUUGUCUUUAUCUUCUCUGUGUUGGCAUAUAAGCUUUGAACACAGUGUCGCGUGGUUGAAGUCAAAGGGGGGUGAUGUUGGUCAGGAGUACUCUUUUCUGGCGGUUCUUUCAGUGGAAUGUACUGUUUCUAUUGAUAUCUGCCACUGCUUUGAGGCAAUCCUCCAGUGCUUAGAUGCUUAAAAGGCACCCAGGAAAGGAACUUGCACUGGAGAUGUUUGGCUGCAGCUUGAUGUGAAGGAAUAGUUCAGUGCAGCCUUUGCGUCUGAAGGUCCUUGUUUGUAUUCUGAAGGCAAGAAGCAUUUCUUCGGAUAAUCCCUAUGGGCUGAUGUGUAAACUUUAAGGUAUAAGUUUCUUGGUACUCAACAGGUAUUCCAUGGUAUGACAAGAGAUUAAAUGUGGAUGGAAGUUACAAGUAAAAACCACUUGAUAUUCCAAUAAGAUAUUUGACAAGUUUUAGAAGCCAAAUUAAAGAAUUAAGUUAAUGAUGAUACAUGGUCCAAGUCUUACUAUGUUUAACAGUCUUCUAUUAAAAAUCAGCCCCGGUGUCAUCUUGUAGCUUUUGAUGCUUGUUAAUUUUCUACUAAUUGGUUUCAAAGUGAGUUGACCAAGGUUUUAUAUUCUGUUGGAUCUUUAUUUUCUAGAGGAUUGUGAAUAGUUAGUCUUAGAAUGAGUUUACAGGGUUUAAUGUUGUACUUUGGGUAUGUGAUUGAGAACUUUUAAGCCGGUUGCCACAGUAACUUGCAGAAGCAAGGUGUAUGUCUUUUUAAAUUUAAACUUAGAACUUUAUAUACCGUCUAGGUACUGAAGAAAGGUCAAAGUUUUCAUCUUUGGAUUUUUGAUGGAGUAGCUUUAUAUAAAUCUGGUAAAAUUUUGAAAUUAAGAAUUAUAAGAUUAAGCAUGCAAAAAUUUGUGCAGAGAAUGUAACAAUGCCUAGAGUUUGUGGCUAUUAAUCCUGUUGCUUCUUAUCUUUUUACUAGGAGGCUGAGUUGUUUUUGAGGUGUCAUGCACUAAAGUUUUUAUUUAUCCCAAUAAUUAUUCACAUGGAUUUGUUUUGAGGUUGUGGUCUUCUCUAGCAUUAAAUAGUCAUACCGUGUACCAGUUAAAUAACACAAAGUUAGUCAUACUGGGUCCGUUUUAGGUGUCAUGUAUGAAUUUUAUUAGUUAGCGUAAUUUUUUUCACUAGGUCUGUUCUGUAGUUGUAAUGUUCUCACUCAAGGAUAAGAACAAUCAUACCAUGUACCAUAUAUCAGACAAAGCUUAGUUAGUGCCUAAACAAUAUUUUUUUUACAAAGCAGCAAAUAAAAAUUAAAAGGCACUUCUGUAGUCAAUAUGAUUUUACAAGUGUUUGACUUUAGACAUCUGACUGUUCUUUAAAAAGGUUUGGUGCAUUGCUUGUACACACAUGACGAUAUUAGAACGUUGUUCUGCAAUUUUAGUCUUUACCUUAUAAUGUAUGUGAAUCUUCAUGAUAUGAUUGAGUGUUAUUUUAUUUUUAAUUCAAAAUAAUCUAAUCAUAUGAUGAUACAUAUCAAAUAUGUAUCUAUUUAUGUACUUAAAUUGGGUAUGCAUAGUUUUAUUAUUACAUUUUUGGGUGUUAAAAACUUCAUAAAAGAGAGUAGAAGCCAUGAUAUUGUUACAAUGAGAUGUUGGGAGGAAAACUUUGAUUGUGGUGGUUGUAUGUUGUAGUGGAGUGAGGUGUCAUAUAUGUAGUAGCAGCUGUUUUAAUGCUGUUAUUCUACAUGGUUAUUGGUUUAAUGGCCAGUUUUUUCCGUGCUUGUGUGGCAAAAAUCAUCUUUAGUUCUAAGACGGGAUUUGUGAGUGAGGUCCCUAAUUUUCAUGUACUUCCAUGUAAUUGAUAAAGUUGAAUAAGUGUGGAAUUAAUUGCAUGUAUUUGCAUCAA